rnacentral:rRNA from 1 species
ACUCCUGCGGGAGGCAGCAGUGGGGAAUAUUGCACAAUGGGCGCAAGCCUGAUGCAGCCAUGCCGCGUGUAUGAAGAAGGCCUUCGGGUUGUAAAGUACUUUCAGCGGGGAGGAAGGCGAUAAGGUUAAUAACCUUGUCGAUUGACGUUACCCGCAGAAGAAGCACCGGCUAACUCCGUGCCAGCAGCCGCGGUAAUACGGAGGGUGCAAGCGUUAAUCGGAAUUACUGGGCGUAAAGCGCACGCAGGCGGUCUGUCAAGUCGGAUGUGAAAUCCCCGGGCUCAACCUGGGAACUGCAUUCGAAACUGGCAGGCUAGAGUCUUGUAGAGGGGGGUAGAAUUCCGGGUGUAGCGGUGAAAUGCGUAGAGAUCUGGAGGAAUACCGGUGGCGAAGGCGGCCCCCUGGACAAAGACUGACGCUCAGGUGCGAAAGCGUGGGGAGCAAACAGGAUUAGAAACCCUGGUAGUCCCAUGA